CCUACGGGGGGCUGCAGUGGGGAAUAUUGGACAAUGGGGGGAACCCUGAUCCAGCCAUGCCGCGUGUGUGAAGAAGGCCCUCGGGUUGUAAAGCACUUUCAGUGAGGAAGAACGCCUGGUGGUUAAUACCCAUCAGGAAAGACAUCACUCACAGAAGAAGCACCGGCUAACUCCGUGCCAGCAGCCGCGGUAAUACGGAGGGUGCGAGCGUUAAUCGGAAUUACUGGGCGUAAAGCGCGCGUAGGUGGCUUGAUAAGCCGGUUGUGAAAGCCCCGGGCUCAACCUGGGAACGGCAUCCGGAACUGGCAAGCUAGAGUGCAGGAGAGGAAGGUAGAAUUCCCGGUGUAGCGGUGAAAUGCGUAGAGAUCGGGAGGAAUACCAGUGGCGAAGGCGGCCUUCUGGACUGACACUGACACUGAGGUGCGAAAGCGUGGGUAGCAAACAGGAUUAGAUACCCGAGUAGUC
rnacentral:rRNA from 1 species